GAGAGAGAGUGUAAAAAGUUUCU
rnacentral:snRNA from 1 species